rnacentral:rRNA from 1 species
GCUAGCGUUGUUCGGAAUUACUGGGCGUAAAGCGCGCGCAGGCGGUCUUCCAAGUCAGUGGUGAAAGCCCGGAGCUCAACUCCGGAACUGCCAUUGAAACUGUGAGACUUGAGUAUGAGAGAGGUGAGUGGAAUUCCCAGUGUAGAGGUGAAAUUCGUAGAUAUUGGGAAGAACACCGGUGGCGAAGGCGGCUCACUGGCUCAUUACUGACGCUCAGGCGCGAAAGCGUGGGGAUCAAACAGG